rnacentral:miRNA from 1 species
CCUUUCGUCGAGUGUCAUGGC